rnacentral:rRNA from 1 species
UAGAAAAUAAACACCCAAAUAUUCAGAGUAAAAGAAAGAUCUAGAAAAGAAGGAGGUAUGGCGGUCCUGAACCUGAUCAGAGGGGUAUGUAGUUAAUCGAAUUUGCGCGAGAAUCUUACUUGAUUAUGUAUUGGGAAACUAACAUUCUGUCCACUGCCGUCGGAAAUUUUGGUUAAAAAGCACAGAUUUUGAUCCGAUCGAACGGAUUACGACAGGUAAAGGUGCAGACAAUAUUCAAGUAUCUAAUGUACCUUUGCUAAGAUAAAGUAAAACUUUUAAUGAAAAAGAAAGUUUAAUUAAAUUUGAGAGUAAAAUAAAAAAAUCAUGUUUAUUUGAAAAUGGCUCUUCAGGGUGUA